rnacentral:rRNA from 1 species
UACGGGGGGAGCAAGCGUUGUUCGGAUUUACUGGGCGUAAAGGGCGCGUAGGCGGCCACCGCAAGUCGACUGUGAAAUCUCCGGGCUUAACCCGGAAAGGUCAGCCGAUACUGCGGGGCUAGAGUGCAGAAGGGGCAACUGGAAUUCUCGGUGUAGCGGUGAAAUGCGUAGAUAUCGAGAGGAACACCUGCGGCGAAGGCGGCGUUCUGGACUGCAACUGACACUGAUAAACGAAAGCCAGGGUAGCAAACGGG